rnacentral:RNase_P_RNA from 1 species
CCAGCCGGCCGGGCGGCCGCGGUGCGAGGGAUUGAACGCCCCGCAUCGAGGAAAGUCCGGGCUCCACGGAGACACGGUGCCGGAUAACGUCCGGCGGGGGCGACCCCAGGGAAAGUGCCACAGAAAUCAGACCACUCGUGCGUGCACGAGCCAGGGUGAAACGGUGGGGUAAGAGCCCACCGCGCGACCGGCAACGGGAGCGGCACGGCAAACCCCACCGGGAGCAAAGUCGAAUAGGGACGACACGGGAAACCACCCCGUCUUCGGGGCGUCGUCCGGGUUGACUGCUAGAGGCGCCGGGCAACCGGCGUCCCAGAGGAAUGGCCGCCACGCGGGCCGCAAGGCCCGCCGUACAGAACCCGGCUUACAGGCCGGCUGGUGCU